UGUUGGUGUUGAUACGCAAGCCCCUUUU
rnacentral:sRNA from 1 species